AUUGAACGCUGGCGGCAGGCCUAACACAUGCAAGUCGAACGAGUGGCGGACGGGUGAGUAAUGUCUGGGAAACUGCCUGAUGGAGGGGGAUAACUACUGGAAACGGUAUCCAAUACCGCAUACCAUCUGAUUUGCCCAGAUGGGAUUAGCUUGUGGGUGGGGUAACGGCUCACCAAGGCGACGACCCCUAGCUGGUCUGAGAGGAUGACCAGCCACGAUGGAACUGGGCCACGGUCCAGACUCCUACGGGAGGCAGCAGUGGGGAAUAUUGCACAAUGGGCACAAGCCUGAGGCAGCCAGGCCGGGGGUAUAAAGAAGGCCGUCGGGUUGUAAAGUACUUUAAGCGGGGAGGCGGUACCCGAAGAGAAAGCACCGGCUAACUCCGUGCCAGCAGCCGCGGUAAUAC
rnacentral:rRNA from 1 species